UACGAAGGGGGGCUAGUGUUGCUCGGAAUCACUGGGCGUAAAGCGCACGUAGGCGGAUUGUUAAGUCAGGGGUGAAAUCCUGGAGCUCAACUCCAGAACUGCCUUUGAUACUGGCGAUCUCGAGUCCGGGAGAGGUGAGUGGAACUGCGAGUGUAGAGGUGAAAUUCGUAGAUAUUCGCAAGGACACCAGUGGCGAAGGCGGCUCACUGGCCCGGUACUGACGCUGAGGUGCGAAAGCGUGGGGAGCAACAGGG
rnacentral:rRNA from 1 species